UUAUUAAUAAAAUAUUUGAUCCUUUCGUACUAAAAUAUUUAUUUUAAAUUAAGAUAGAAACCAACCUGGCUUACACCGGUUUAAACUCAGAUCAUGUAAAAUUUUAAAGGUCGAACAGACCUAAUAUUUUAGCUUCUACACCAAAAAUUAAUUUUAAUCCAACAUCGAGGUCGCAAUCUUUUUUUUCAAUAAGAACUUUCAAAAAAAAUUACGCUGUUAUCCCUAAGGUAAUUUAAUCUUUUAAUCAUUUUUAUGGAUCAAGAAUUCAUUAAUUUAUGUUAUUAUAAAAAAAAAGUUUAAUUAAUUUUUUUGUCACCCCAACACAAUUUUAAUUUAAAUUAAAAAUUUUAAAUUCUAAAAUUUAAAAAUUAAAUUAAAAUUAAACUCUAUAGGGUCUUCUCGUCUUUAAAUUAAAUUUAAGCUUUUUAACUUAAAAAUAAAAUUCUAAAAAAAUAAAAUUGAGACAGAAAUUUUCUCAUCAAACCAUUCAUACAAGCUUUCAAUUAAAAAACUAAUGAUUAUGCUACCUUUGCACAGUCAAAAUACUGCGGCCCUUCAAAAAAUUUCAGUGGGCAGGCCCUACUUUAAAUUAAAAUC
rnacentral:rRNA from 1 species